GAAAAAAAGAAUUGUUCCAGAAAAAACCUUUACCAAAACUGUCUUGUAUUGUGUGUCUUCUUGUACUCUUAUUAUAUAAAAAAAAAAACAUCUUAUUAGUUAAUGACUUUAUAAUUGUACAACAAAAUUGUAUGUAAAAAUUACAAAAUUAUUGCACUUGUGCGUGCAAUUAAUAUGGAAAUUGUUAUAUUAACAAAAUCAUUUUGCCGACUGAGGCCGAAAAUCGUUAUCCCUAAUGUAUUUUCAAAUAUUUCGCGAUCUUUUGUUGUAAACAUUCUCCACGCAUUUGUUUAAUCUUGUUUUUAUUUAACAAUUAAACUUAAGUCGAUCAUAAUUGUGUGCUUGAGACUGAGUGUGAGUGAAUUUUUGUAGCAUUCAAAUGCCGACUGAAUCCAUCCGCAUAAACGGAUGGAGAAAACCAUAUGUUUGUAUAGAAUAAGUCGAGUGUGUGCUUUUAGCCCAAAUACCAUGAUUUUUAGACUAAAUUACUCUAAAAGAGAAACGUCCCAAUCGCAUUUAUCGUAGUUAACUAUACUAACGUUACAAGCUGAUGUAGUUCCUAACAUAGGUUCCAAGAAAAGAACAAAGUCAUUCAGUUCCCCCCGAGAUACUGUACUACUCGCGGCUCAUUUUACACAACUUAGGCCUCCAAUUGUAUCAUCUACAUUUUACUUUUUUAAAUUCUAGCUUUACUUUUAAUUUGUAUAUACAUUUUGUAAACGAUACUCGACUAAGAUCAUGUCCCACUAAUCCCGAAUUGCAAUUACACCUUGUUAAAUCAAGUCUACGAUUUGAAAAGUACCUGUAACUCUCCGCAGAGCGAGAGCCUAGAGGUGUUAAGAGUAUUAUGAGCUUAACGAUGUCUUGUACAAUUUAUACUGUGAUUGUGAUCUCGAUGAAACAAACUACAUAUGAAUUUAUACAAACCAUUACUGUCUGUUAAGUCAUGCCAAAGCAGGUAAUGUUGUCCCAUUCUUCUGGGACCCUAUAUAUACACUAUAGAAUUUUUAGAGUUUUCUUGUUUUAUGGACAAGUAACAGCACCUAGUCGCCCAAUUUGCCAUAGUUUAUUAUUUACCAUGUACAAUGUUUUUAGAAAAUACGCCAAUUACCUUGUUUUUGGAUCUAGCGCGAAAUAAAAAAAACAUUUACUAGUCGUUUCG
ensembl:ncRNA lncRNA:CR45409 long non-coding RNA:CR45409